rnacentral:rRNA from 1 species
UCUGUAAGCUGACUGCGGAGGACUUGUCGAAGCCUCACAAGCAGUGCGACCCUGUGAAUUUGUUUGACUACUCGGGGGCGGCUAGAGGUGUUCGGCACCACGGUCCCCCCGCUUGCCAAGGAGGGGACACCCCGGGUGAUCCCCUCCUGGGCAAAUAACAAAACCCCGGGCCCCAAAGCCCCCAGGAAAAUUAAAUUUUUUAAUGGCCCCCCCUCCGGCCCGAAAACGUGCCCGUACGGGGGGGUGUGCCACCCCCGUAUCUUAAAAACUCCUGGCCACGGAAAUCUUGGCCUCUGGCUCCAAUAAAAAAGUAACGAAAUGGCAUACUUGGUGUGAAUUGGAAAAUCCCGUGAACCCUCCAGUCUUUUAACGGCAGUUGCCCCCGAAGCCCUUAAGGUGAAGGCACGCCCGCCUGGGUGUUGGACAUCCGUGCCCCCAUGCCUUGGCCACGUGCUAGACCUUGAAUUGGGGCGAAAGUUGGCUUCCCCCGAGUGUCCUCCCCCGGUUGGUUGAAAACUGAGUCCGUGGUUGAGGGCCCCCUUAUGGAUGGUUGCUGAAUUAAACCCCGGACCCAACGUGCGUGUCACCCACCGAUUUGUACUCUGUGACCCAUGGGGUCGUUGGCCGCCUAGACGGAACCUCAGUCAGCGGGCUACCCGCUAGUUAGCAUAUCAUAGGAGAAGAAGAA